AAGGGUCCCGGGAAGGUGGUGGUUCAGUGCCUCCAAGCGUGGUCGGACUCUGAAGGGGAGCGGCCGCCGUGAGUGUGGGGCCUGCAGCCUUCUCUCCCCGAGUCCCCUGCCCGGCUUGCCUCGCUCGAGGUACCCGAAGGCUUCGGUCUCCGCGGGCUGGCGCCUGACCAGCCAGGCCCAGCGCUCUCCUGCCUACUGCGUUUGAAAGAUCCCGAAAACCCUGGAUGAUUGUGCCUGGGGUUGGCAAAUGCUGCAUCCCCUUUUUGGAAUUGCUCAACCGGGUGGUAACCAGCGCGGCUUCCUGGCCUCGGGAGGUGGUUCCUUUCUUAACCCACAAGAACCUCUCCCAAGAGAACUUGGUCCUGAUGUCUGACCAUGGAGAUGUGAGCCUCCCGCCCGAAGACCGGGUGAGGGCUCUCUCCCAGCUGGGUAGUGCGGUAGAGGUGAAUGAAGACAUUCCACCCCGUCGGUACUUCCGCUCUGGAGUUGAGAUUAUCCGAAUGGCAUCCAUUUACUCUGAGGAAGGCAACAUUGAACAUGCCUUCAUCCUCUAUAACAAGUAUAUCACGCUCUUUAUUGAGAAACUACCAAAGCAUCGCGAUUACAAAUCUACCGUCAUUCCUGAAAAGAAAGACACAGUAAAGAAAUUAAAGGAGAUUGCAUUUCCCAAAGCAGAAGAGCUGAAGGCAGAACUGUUAAAACGAUAUACCAAAGAAUAUACAGAAUAUAAUGAAGAAAAGAAGAAGGAAGCAGAGGAAUUGGCCCGAAACAUGGCCAUCCAGCAAGAGCUAGAAAAGGAAAAACAGAGGGUAGCACAACAGAAGCAGCAGCAAUUGGAACAGGAACAGUUCCAUGCCUUCGAGGAGAUGAUCCAGAACCAGGAGCUAGAAAAAGAGCGACUGAAAAUUGUACAGGAGUUUGGGAAGGUGGACCCUGGCCUAGGUGGCCCGCUAGUGCCUGACUUGGGGAAGCCCUCCUUAGAUGUGUUCCCCACCUCACCUGUCUCAUCCACACAGCCUUCAGACUGUCACACAACUGUAAGGCCAGCUAAGCCACCUGUGGUGGACAGGUCCUUGAAACCUGGAGCACUAAGCAACUCAGAAAGUAUUCCUAUAAUCGAUGGAUUGUGCCAUGUGGUGGUGCCCGGGCGACUGUGCCCACAGUUUCUCCAGUUAGCCAGUGCCAACACUGCCCGGGGAGUGGAGACAUGUGGAAUUCUCUGUGGAAAACUGAUGAGGAAUGAAUUUACCAUUACUCAUGUUCUCAUCCCCAAGCAAAGUGCUGGGUCUGAUUACUGCAACACAGAGAACGAAGAAGAACUUUUCCUCAUACAGGAUCAGCAGGGCCUCAUCACGCUGGGCUGGAUUCAUUUCUAGUUACCCUCUGAGUGUGACUGGUGAUGGGAUGCUGACCUAGAAUACAUGUGGACAUUGACCUUAGAGACUAUGCCUACUGUAUACAGAUGAUGUUCCUUAAAGAAUGGGUGACUCGAUGGUAUGGAGAGACCUUGUAAGGAACCAAAUAAGUCUUGAUGGUCAAUUAGAAAGUAUGAGUCUCUUGAAAAACAGAAACCUGAAUCAUCCAGAGAGAAACACUUCUUAGAGGAGAUAGAAGAAAUUCCCUAGGAAAAGUUCCAAGGGCCACUGCGUGCCAUUCACAGUUGUUGAGGACACUCACCUACCUUGUCCAUGGAUGCCCAUCAUGACAACCCCAGUAACACCUUUGAUUCCGUGGAUCCCUGGGUAAAUCCAACAUCAUAGUCCUUGAGUUCUUCCAAUUUGGUUCAAGAACAGGAGAGCCAGAGCAGGAAAUAUCAGCAAACAACCUCCUCUUCUGUCUCCAACCCUGAGACACAGAUGUCUUUGCCUGUCUCCACUCCUACUGUCUGGUGAUCUUUGUGCAGCAGGUAUGCUUCUGAAGGAGGUCUCCAAGCCAGUUUCUGUGUGCUGUCAUCUGAGAUGGGGUUCCCGUUGCCAGUUCUCACACCCCACAAGACCCACCACACUGAUCUCCUGGCUAGCACACACCAACCUCAGGGAGGCCUUUUCUUCACACUUGGAACCUAGAUCUUGAUUUCCUUUUGAAAGGUCAGAAUUUGUUUAACUGGAAUGUGGCACAGCAUUGAAUUCUUCUGCCUUGUCUAUUUCAGCUUCAGAAUUCUGUUUUUCUCCCACUUUGCAGUGGUCUUUGAGUUUUAACACUGAGGAACAGUAUCUUUCCCCAAUGAUGCCCCAGAUGGAAGGUUUGAGCUCUGUCCCUGGGUCCUCUCCAUACCCCCCUAGUUUAAUGGCCCAGUGUCUUGAUGCCUUCUCACAUCACGGCUCUGCAGCCUACAGUCUUUCAUCCAACCAGGAAUUCCAGAACCCAUCAGGCACCCUAGAUCUUCUAAACCGGUGGGAUCAGAGUCUCCAUUUUGAGUAGUACAGAGAGGAAAGUUCCCCCUUGUGUUUACCUCCCUUUUUUGUCUGCCUACUCCAGUUCCCCCUUUCUUGAGUGCUCAAGCUGCCUAACGUCUUCCACUGUCUUCAAACAAGGGAAGCCAGAAAGUUCCAAGUCUCUUCGUCCUCAGUUUACUUUUGUCCAGUGCAGCCUCAGUGACCUCUGGGAGCUCUCUCCCUGAGAAGGUUUUCUGAGUGAAUUAGAUGAAAUGUGAUGGGUGGGUUAUUUGAUAUGUCAUCUAUAACCAUGAGCUAGGACAGCAUGCACUUGCCUGGGCUUAAUGCUGUUGCUUUCCAUUAGAAAAAAGAUCACCUUAUCAUUCAUCAGACACUCUACAGAAUCUCAGAAUUAUGGUUCUGCACAAUGUAAGUGAGAGCAUACAUCCACCUACCCAGGAAUUGAAGUGGGAUCUCCCCCACCCCAUUUGUAGCAUCUCCCUGUGCUUGCUCUUCAGACAAAUGCCCAUCUGUUUAGUUGUCAUUCUGCUGGGGCCAAUGCAAUCUAAGUUAUUUCAUUUCCUUAGUUAUUUUCAUCCCCUUCCCCUCUCUCAUUGUAUCCUUCACCACGGACAGCUCUUGCAGUUUCCAAUAAUUGUUCAUACUCCUUAUUUCUUUUCUUUU